CCGUGGGUGCGAGCGGCUGCGGUCGACAGAGCACGGGCGGUGGCGGGCAGUGCGUGGCCGCUGCAGGCAAGCGCUGUUUUCUUUGCAGCCGCCAGCCGUACGCAAUCGUACGGCGCCCUUCAUCCUCGCGCUGGUCGUCGUCGUCUCCUUUUUCAUCCUCGUCCGGAGGCAGUCGCCCACCGCGGCAGUGGGAACUGUGCGUUGACGACGGUGCCUGCAACCGCCAACAGCAUCAGGAGUUGGUUGUUGGAGAGACGGUUUCGGAGCCUGCAGUGGAUGACGGUGAGGUGCUGCUGGUGGAGCCGGGUCUCCGGGAGAUGUUCCGGAUCGCGCCCUCCACUCCCGAGUACGCCGCCAUCGUGGAGCAGCUCCCGCAGGUGGGUGGGUGAGUGGGUGGGUGAGUUGGUCGGUGAGUGGGUGGGUGAGUGGGUGGGUGGGUGAGUGGGUGAGCCGCGGGGCAUGGGCCUGUAAUCGGCAUGGCUGUGUCUUGAUAGGGGCCGGUCGAUACUUUGCUGGCGGGUCUCCCUCGCUGUCUCGCCCGCUGUAGUCUCUAGUUGGCUACACAUGCCCUCGAGCCGCCCCCACGAAACAAAAAAUAUUGAGGGGCUGCUGCUGCUGCUAAUGUUGUUGCAACCCGGCAAAGCAGCCUGUUACGGGUGUAUGGUCAUGUCCCUUCCUACCUACCUAUCUACCUAGCUAGCUAGCUAUCAACGGAUUGUUUCGGUCUGGGGACCUUACUCGCUUGUAAGCUCUGUUUCGUCGGUACGUACAUAUGUACACAUGCAAUACAACAUGUAACUAUUUCGAACAGGCUUGGGCGGCUGGCCCUGGGGGCCCCCCAGGGCUUGUUUGGGCCCGUAACACCUUCGGAGAGUAGCGCAGCUCAAGGUGUAACACAUACAUACAUACAUGCAUACAUACAUCUGAUCAGGCCCCCUUACCUCUGUUAUUU
rnacentral:lncRNA from 1 species